rnacentral:rRNA from 1 species
CCUACGGGAGGCAGCAGUGGGGAAUAUUGCACAAUGGGCGCAAGCCUGAUGCAGCAACGCCGCGUGAGCGAAGAAGGUCUUCGGAUCGUAAAGCUCUGUCCUUGAGGAAGAAGGAAGUGACGGUACUCAAGGAGGAAGCCCCGGCUAACUACGUGCCAGCAGCCGCGGUAAUACGUAGGGGGCAAGCGUUAUCCGGAAUUAUUGGGCGUAAAGAGUACGUAGGUGGUUUUGUAAGCGCGGGGUGAAAGGCAGUGGCUUAACCAUUGUAAGCCUUGCGAACUGCAAGACUUGAGUGCAGGAGAGGAAAGCGGAAUUCCUAGUGUAGCGGUGAAAUGCUUAGAUAUUAGGAGGAACACCAGUGGCGAAGGCGGCUUUCUGGACUGUAACUGACACUGAGGUACGAAAGCGUGGGGAGCAAACAGGAUUAGAUACCCCUGUAGUC